AGAGUUUGAUCCUGGCUCAGAUUGAACGCUGGCGGCAGGCCUAACACAUGCAAGUCGAGCGCGAAAGCACUUCGGUGCGAGUAGAGCGGCGGACGGGUGAGUAACGCGUAGGAAUCUACCUGGUAGUGGGGGACAACUUGUGGAAACGCAAGCUAAUACCGCAUACGACCUAAGGGUGAAAGUGGGGGACCUUCGGGCCUCACGCUAUCGGAUGAGCCUGCGUAGGAUUAGCUAGUUGGUGAGGUAAAGGCUCACCAAGGCGACGAUCCUUAGCUGGUCUGAGAGGAUGAUCAGCCACACUGGAACUGAGACACGGUCCAGACUCCUACGGGAGGCAGCAGUGGGGAAUAUUGCGCAAUGGGGGCAACCCUGACGCAGCCAUGCCGCGUGUGUGAAGAAGGCCUUAGGGUUGUAAAGCACUUUCAAUUGGGAAGAAAAGCUAAACGUUAAUAGCGUUUAGCCCUGACAUUACCUUUAGAAGAAGCACCGGCUAACUCCGUGCCAGCAGCCGCGGUAAUAAGGGCGA
rnacentral:rRNA from 1 species